GGGGGGUGAAACGUAGCAAUGUCUAAUGCUCGUCAAAUCCUCGUAUUGUGCAUUGUGGUCUGGUGCCAGUUACUAGAAGCAAAAGGUUGGUUUAGAAUGUGAAUUUUUGGAUGAACCAAUAUAGUGAAUCAAGGUGAAGCAUUUCGGGAGCACAGGAGACAAUCCAGUUCUGUUGAUAAGUGACACAACGUGUACAACGACUGGGGCAAACAAUCAACAUCAAUUUCAUUUGUUUUUGGCGGUAAAGAAGUGGAUAAACUUGGCCUUUAUCCAUGGCAUGUGGCAGUGUUCUUAUCUAAUAAAUAUCUUGGUGGAGGUUCGAUUAUAUCCGAGCGAUUUGUGUUGACAGCAACCCAUAUGAUAACUGAAGUCACGAGUAACGUAGCAGUAGAUCCGAAGCGGUUAACCAUCAAAACUGGCAUAGUGAAGUUGAGUAGCGAUUCUAGCAAAGGUUACGGUGUGGUAGAAAUAUUUCGCUACCCGGGGUACAACAGCACGACGUACAAAAAUGACAUAUGCUUGCUGAAGCUCGAGACCAAGUUGCGGUUCGACAACAAUGUUCGUCCAAUUUUCCUAUGGGAUUCGCAUGACGUCAGUAUUGAAAAGUUAAUAGAACAAAAGAAGCAUCCAAUUGUGGUUGGAUUUGGAUACACCGAAGCGCAAUUACAGUCCGAUACAUUACAACAUGCCACAAUGAACUUCGUCACGAACGAAGCGUGCCUGAAACAACAAAGCUCUUUUAAGGAUUCUUUGUCGGACGACCAAAACUUUUGUAUUCAUCACCCGCAAAAGUCAGCCUGCCAAGGAGGUAGUGGAGGCAGCGUCUUUGUGCAACAAAAACGUAACGGAGCGCAAGUUUACUAUCUUCGAGGGUUGGUAACUGGUGGUGCAUCCUCUUGUGCUCAGGAUUCGAUGGUAACAAUCACUGAUGUGGCAUACUAUGCGAAGUGGAUCGAAAAAAUAGCUCUCCCUUGGAACUAUAACCUAAUUGGUCAUCCAGAAUGUCCUAAUAUUGAGACAGACAAAGCCAAUCGCAUCUCCAUGCCAGGAGUCGUUAGUUUACGAUACGCAUUCAGGAAACAGUUGUUCACGCUGACUGUCACGGAAUUUUGAUAAGUAAAACACAUGUCCUUACACAGGCUGGCUGUGUAGAAAUCACAAAUUUCGGCAAUUGCACUCUGUAUCAUUGGGCGGCUCAGUUUUGUUCGAUUACGGAGAUGCUACUAAGCAAUACAAAAUAAAUGCAAUAAAUGUCUCAGGACCUCUUGCUAUUUUCUCCUUGGAUAGGGAAGUUGACGAGUCAAUAAAACCCAUCUGUCUUCCGACUAGACCAGAGUUUGGCGAUGUGAUGGUUAUAUUCUAGAAUAAAGUUAAACAUCACCCAAAACACCUGCAUCGCUCCAAUAAGAACAGCUUCACACCUAAGUGGUCACAGGAGAUCCGACAGCGUCUUUUAGCUAUUGAACAAAACUUGCAGGUCCAAAUCAAUGAUGACAGUAUGAGGAAUCGCUUGGGAGGUGCUCCCUUCUUUUAUGCCACUAACGACGAUUCGAAUAUUCAUCUGUACUUGAGAGCCGUAGAGAAAUGCGCAGUUAAAGGAUGUGUUGACGAAAGCAGCUUGGAAUUUGUUGAUGUUUUAGAGUUCAGAGAAUGGAUCAAAAAGGUAGUUUUGGGCGAUUCCGAACUGGAAGAUCAACAACCCCCAGCGAUUGAAUUUUAUUGAGAAGACGACAGAGUUCUACGGUAAAGCGAAUGAAACUAUUUAGAUCAGUUCUGCUUGACGUAUUCAGCGAUUUUGAUCGUUUGGCAAUGUAUAUUUUCAAAUUAUUGUUAAUUCCUUCUUAAUUUUGGUUUUAAUUAGUUAUUAAUUAUUGGUUUUACAUACAUUCUGAAUAUAUACAUAAAACAUAUUACCCGAGAUUUUGUAUAGGAUUUAUACUAUUUCAAGGCUGUUGUUCAAUUGUAACUCUCAGUAGAUAAAAAAAGGGAUUUCUAAAUUUUUUGAUGGACUACAAUUGAGUUUAAAACAUUGUGUAGUCGGUGUUGUUUAUAUUUUUAUACUCUUUCAGGAUAAGCUACACAAAUACUGAUUUGUUAUAGGCGCUAGCCAAA